GGCGCGGUAGCUUAGUUGGUAAAGCGCUCGUCUAGCAUACAAGAGUCCUGGGUUCAAAUCCCAGCCGAGCAC
rfam:Aedes aegypti strain Liverpool supercont1.1151 genomic scaffold, whole genome shotgun sequence.